rnacentral:rRNA from 1 species
UUAAGAAUAUUGUGCAAUGGGCGCAAGCCUGACACAGCGAUGCCGCGUGGAGGAUGAAGGUCUUCGGAUUGUAAACUCCGCUAAAGUGGGAAGAAUAAGCGUACUCGCAAGAGUGCGUGAUGACGGUACCACUCUAAAGCCCCGGCUAAUUACGUGCCAGCAGCCGCGGUAAUACGUAUGGGGCAAGCGUUGUUCGGAAUCAUUGGGCGUAAAGGGCACGCAGGCGGACUAGUAAGUUGGUUGUAUAAUCUCCAGGCUUAACCUGGAAUCUGCUUCCAAAACUGCUAGUCUAGAGUUCCAGAGGGGAGAGCGGAAUUCUCGGUGUAGCGGUGGAAUGCGUAGAUAUCGAGAGGAACACCAGUGGCGAAGGCGGCUCUCUGGCUGGAUACUGACGCUGAGGUGCGAAAGCAUGGGGAGCAAACA